UACAGAGGUCCCGAGCGUGUCCGGAAUUAUUGGGCGUAAAGAGCUUGUAGGCGGUUUGUCGCGUCUGCCGUGAAAAUUCGAGGCUCAACCUCGAACUUGCGGUGGGUACGGGCAGACUAGAGUGUGGUAGGGGAGACUGGAAUUCCUGGUGUAGCGGUGAAAUGCGCAGAUAUCAGGAGGAACACCGAUGGCGAAGGCAGGUCUCUGGGCCACUACUGACGUGAGAAGCGAAAGCAUGGGGAGCGAACAGG
rnacentral:rRNA from 1 species